GGAUAAACUAACUAUACUAUCAUUUUAGAUAAAAUAGAUAACUGAACUUUCUAGAAAUAGCCCCAGCAGACUAGUUAUAACAUGUUACGUGCCUAGCCAAAUGUAUUGAGGCUGUAUACAGUAGCCAACGAUUUUUUUAUUCUUAAAUCAUAGACUUUCUUUCUUUUCUCUCUAUUAUUUAGGGGAAAGGCUAACCCACACCGAAUUCUU
rnacentral:lncRNA from 1 species